rnacentral:rRNA from 1 species
UACGUAGGGGGCGUAGCGUUAUCCGGAAUUACUGGGCGUAAAGGGUGCGUAGGUGGUUUCUUAAGUCAGAGGUGAAAGGCUACGGCUCAACCGUAGUAAGCCUUUGAAACUGGGAAACUUGAGUGCAGGAGAGGAGAGUGGAAUUCCUAGUGUAGCGGUGAAACGCGUAGAUAUUAGGAGGAACACCAGUUGCGAAGGCGGCUCUCUGGACUGUAACUGACACUGAGGCACGAAAGCGUGGGGAGCAAACAGGAUUAGAUACCCUGGUAGUCCCUGAGCGGG